rnacentral:tRNA from 1 species
GAGUUUAUGCGGUUUAACAUAGAUUUGAUUCCUUGACUUUUAAUCAAGUUGUCCGGGGUUCGAAUCCCCGCACGCUCA